GACGAACGCUGGCGGCGUGCCUAAUACAUGCAAGUUGAGCGCUGAAGGUUGGUACUUGUACCGACUGGAUGAGCAGCGAACGGGUGAGUAACGCGUGGGGAAUCUGCCUUUGAGCGGGGGACAACAUUUGGAAACGAAUGCUAAUACCGCAUAAAAACUUUAAACACAAGUUUUAAGUUUGAAAGAUGCAAUUGCAUCACUCAAAGAUGAUCCCGCGUUGUAUUAGCUAGUUGGUGAGGUAAAGGCUCACCAAGGCGAUGAUACAUAGCCGACCUGAGAGGGUGAUCGGCCACAUUGGGACUGAGACGCGGCCCAAACUCCUACGGGAGGCAGCAGUAGGGAAUCUUCGGCAAUAGACGAAAGUCUGACCGAGCAACGCCGCGUGAGUGAAGAAGGUUUUCGGAUCGUAAAACUCUGUUGGUAGAGAAGAACGUUGGUGAGAGUGGAAAGCUCAUCAAGUGACGGUAACUACCCAGAAAGGGACGGCUAACUACGUG
rnacentral:rRNA from 1 species